GACGAACGCUGGCGGCGUGCUUAACACAUGCAAGUCGAACGGAAAGGCCCUGCUUUUUUGGGGUGCUCGAGUGGCGAACGGGUGAGUAACACGUGAGUAACCUGCCCUUGACUUUGGGAUAACUUCGGGAAACUGGGGCUAAUCCCGGAUAGGAGCUCCUGCUGCAUGGUGGGGGUUGGAAAGUUUCGGAGGUUGGGGAUGGACUCGCGGCUUAUCAGCUUGUUGGUGGGGUAGUGGCUUACCAAGGCUUUGACGGGUAGCCGGCCUGAGAGGGUGACCGGCCACAUUGGGACUGAGAUACGGCCCAGACUCCUACGGGAGGCAGCAGUGGGGAAUAUUGCACAAUGGGCGGAAGCCUGAUGCAGCAACGCCGCGUGCGGGAUGACGGCCUUCGGGUUGUAAACCGCUUUCGCCUGUGACGAAGCGUGAGUGACGGUAAUGGGUAAAGAAGCACCGGCUAACUACGUG
rnacentral:rRNA from 1 species